GGAAGUUACCCCAACGGUGGGAAGCUGUCUUGAAAACAGUGGCCGGUGAAACGGUAGCGGGUUCGACUCCUGUAGCUUCCG
rnacentral:tRNA from 1 species